rnacentral:lncRNA from 1 species
CUUUGCGAGUUUGUGGAACUUUGCCAUGACGAUUGGCAGGAAUCGAUUUCUUCUUAGCUUGUCCCUUGAAAAGUGUCGAUUUUUGCGUCAUUUUCUCUGAUUCUAAUUCAACACAGAAUUAGGGUUAGGGUUUUUAUUUGUAUGUUUCGAUUUCGAAUUCAAUUCUCAUAUAGAGUGUAGUAGCUACUAGCUGUCACCUAUUGGGCUUUCAUUGUUUUUGGAUCAUUG